rnacentral:tRNA from 12 species
GCGCCCGUAGCUCAGUAGGAUAGAGCAAUGGUUUCCUAAACCAUGUGCCGGAGGUUCGAGUCCUCUCGGGCGCACCA